GUGAACAUGGAGUAGUGGUUUGAGCAUUGGAUUAGGACUCCAGGAGACCGGGGUUCAAAUCCCUGCUUGACC